AUACGGAGGGUGCGAGCGUUAAUCGGAAUUACUGGGCGUAAAGCGUACGUAGGCGGUUGGUUAAGUUAGAUGUGAAAGCCCCGGGCUUAACCUGGGAACUGCAUUUAAAACUGGCGAACUAGAGUUGAGUAGAGGGGAGUGGAAUUUCAGGUGUAGCGGUGAAAUGCGUAGAGAUCUGAAGGAACACCAGUGGCGAAAGCGACUCCCUGGACUCGAACUGACGCUGAGGUACGAAAGCGUGGGUAGCAAACGGGAUUAGAAACCCUAGUAGUCC
rnacentral:rRNA from 1 species